UUAAGCGACUAAGCGUACACGGUGGAUGCCUUGGCAGUCAGAGGCGAUGAAGGACGUGCUAAUCUGCGAUAAGCGUCGGUGAGGUGAUAUGAACCGUUAUAACCGGCGAUUUCCGAAUGGGGAAACCCAGUGUGUUUCGACACACUAUCAUUAACUGAAUCCAUAGGUUAAUGAGGCGAACCGGGGGAACUGAAACAUCUAAGUACCCCGAGGAAAAGAAAUCAACCGAGAUUCCCCCAGUAGCGGCGAGCGAACGGGGAGGAGCCCAGAGCCUGAAUCAGUGUGUGUGUUAGUGGAAGCGUCUGGAAAGGCGUGCGAUACAGGGUGACAGCCCCGUACACAAAAAUGCACAUAUUGUGAGCUCGAUGAGUAGGGCGGGACACGUGGUAUCCUGUCUGAAUAUGGGGGGACCAUCCUCCAAGGCUAAAUACUCCUGACUGACCGAUAGUGAACCAGUACCGUGAGGGAAAGGCGAAAAGAACCCCGGCGAGGGGAGUGAAAAAGAACCUGAAACCGUGUACGUACAAGCAGUGGGAGCCUCUUUAUGGGGUGACUGCGUACCUUUUGUAUAAUGGGUCAGCGACUUAUAUUCUGUAGCAAGGUUAACCGAAUAGGGGAGCCGAAGGGAAACCGAGUCUUAACUGGGCGUUAAGUUGCAGGGUAUAGACCCGAAACCCGGUGAUCUAGCCAUGGGCAGGUUGAAGGUUGGGUAACACUAACUGGAGGACCGAACCGACUAAUGUUGAAAAAUUAGCGGAUGACUUGUGGCUGGGGGUGAAAGGCCAAUCAAACCGGGAGAUAGCUGGUUCUCCCCGAAAGCUAUUUAGGUAGCGCCUCGUGAAUUCAUCUCCGGGGGUAGAGCACUGUUUCGGCAAGGGGGUCAUCCCGACUUACCAACCCGAUGCAAACUGCGAAUACCGGAGAAUGUUAUCACGGGAGACACACGGCGGGUGCUAACGUCCGUCGUGAAGAGGGAAACAACCCAGACCGCCAGCUAAGGUCCCAAAGUCAUGGUUAAGUGGGAAACGAUGUGGGAAGGCCCAGACAGCCAGGAUGUUGGCUUAGAAGCAGCCAUCAUUUAAAGAAAGCGUAAUAGCUCACUGGUCGAGUCGGCCUGCGCGGAAGAUGUAACGGGGCUAAACCAUGCACCGAAGCUGCGGCAGCGACACUAUGUGUUGUUGGGUAGGGGAGCGUUCUGUAAGCCUGUGAAGGUGGCCUGUGAGGGUUGCUGGAGGUAUCAGAAGUGCGAAUGCUGACAUAAGUAACGAUAAAGCGGGUGAAAAGCCCGCUCGCCGGAAGACCAAGGGUUCCUGUCCAACGUUAAUCGGGGCAGGGUGAGUCGACCCCUAAGGCGAGGCCGAAAGGCGUAGUCGAUGGGAAACAGGUUAAUAUUCCUGUACUUGGUGUUACUGCGAAGGGGGGACGGAGAAGGCUAUGUUGGCCGGGCGACGGUUGUCCCGGUUUAAGCGUGUAGGCUGGUUUUCCAGGCAAAUCCGGAAAACCAAGGCUGAGGCGUGAUGACGAGGCACUACGGUGCUGAAGCGACAAAUGCCCUGCUUCCAGGAAAAGCCUCUAAGCAUCAGGUAACAUCAAAUCGUACCCCAAACCGACACAGGUGGUCAGGUAGAGAAUACCAAGGCGCUUGAGAGAACUCGGGUGAAGGAACUAGGCAAAAUGGUGCCGUAACUUCGGGAGAAGGCACGCUGAUAUGUAGGUGAAGCGACUUGCUCGUGGAGCUGAAAUCAGUCGAAGAUACCAGCUGGCUGCAACUGUUUAUUAAAAACACAGCACUGUGCAAACACGAAAGUGGACGUAUACGGUGUGACGCCUGCCCGGUGCCGGAAGGUUAAUUGAUGGGGUUAGCGGUAACGCGAAGCUCUUGAUCGAAGCCCCGGUAAACGGCGGCCGUAACUAUAACGGUCCUAAGGUAGCGAAAUUCCUUGUCGGGUAAGUUCCGACCUGCACGAAUGGCGUAAUGAUGGCCAGGCUGUCUCCACCCGAGACUCAGUGAAAUUGAACUCGCUGUGAAGAUGCAGUGUACCCGCGGCAAGACGGAAAGACCCCGUGAACCUUUACUAUAGCUUGACACUGAACAUUGAGCCUUGAUGUGUAGGAUAGGUGGGAGGCUUUGAAGUGUGGACGCCAGUCUGCAUGGAGCCGACCUUGAAAUACCACCCUUUAAUGUUUGAUGUUCUAACGUUGGCCCGUAAUCCGGGUUGCGGACAGUGUCUGGUGGGUAGUUUGACUGGGGCGGUCUCCUCCUAAAGAGUAACGGAGGAGCACGAAGGUUGGCUAAUCCUGGUCGGACAUCAGGAGGUUAGUGCAAUGGCAUAAGCCAGCUUGACUGCGAGCGUGACGGCGCGAGCAGGUGCGAAAGCAGGUCAUAGUGAUCCGGUGGUUCUGAAUGGAAGGGCCAUCGCUCAACGGAUAAAAGGUACUCCGGGGAUAACAGGCUGAUACCGCCCAAGAGUUCAUAUCGACGGCGGUGUUUGGCACCUCGAUGUCGGCUCAUCACAUCCUGGGGCUGAAGUAGGUCCCAAGGGUAUGGCUGUUCGCCAUUUAAAGUGGUACGCGAGCUGGGUUUAGAACGUCGUGAGACAGUUCGGUCCCUAUCUGCCGUGGGCGCUGGAGAACUGAGGGGGGCUGCUCCUAGUACGAGAGGACCGGAGUGGACGCAUCACUGGUGUUCGGGUUGUCAUGCCAAUGGCACUGCCCGGUAGCUAAAUGCGGAAGAGAUAAGUGCUGAAAGCAUCUAAGCACGAAACUUGCCCCGAGAUGAGUUCUCCCUGA
rnacentral:rRNA from 2 species